rnacentral:lncRNA from 1 species
AUUGAGGUGGAGUGGUUCUAUGCGUGGAAGAGGUGAAAGAGAAGGUUGGAAGGUAGAUCUAGGUCAGAUUGAUCUACAGCAAAGAGGAUUUUGGUGUGUGAUUGCAGAAGAGUGUUAGGAUGCAAAUUUCACUAGUUUGUGGUGAUGGCUUCAAGCGGAUUCAAGGUAGACUUCAAAAAAUUUGAUGGCAAGGAGAACUUUACUCUA